ACGGGAGGCAGCAGUGGGGAAUAUUGCACAAUGGGCGCAAGCCUGAUGCAGCAACGCCGCGUGAGGGACGAAGGCCUUCGGGUUGUAAACCUCUUUUAGUAGGGAAGAAGCGACUGGGUUUUCCUGGGAGUGACGGUACCUGCAGAAAAAGCACCGGCUAACUACGUGCCAGCAGCCGCGGUAAUACGUAGGGUGCAAGCGUUGUCCGGAAUUAUUGGGCGUAAAGAGCUCGUAGGCGGUUUGUCGCGUCUGCUGUGAAAACCCGAGGCUCAACCUCGGGCCUGCAGUGGGUACGGGCAGACUAGAGUGCGGUAGGGGAGAUUGGAAUUCCUGGUGUAGCGGUGGAAUGCGCAGAUAUCAGGAGGAACACCAAUGGCGAAGGCAGAUCUCUGGGCCGUAACUGACGCUGAGGAGCGAAAGCAUGGGGAGCGAACAGGAUUAGAUACCCUGGUAGUCCAUGCCGUAAACGUUGGGAACUAGAUGUGGGGACCAUUCCACGGUCUCCGUGUCGCAGCUAACGCAUUAAGUUCCCCGCCUGGGGAGUACGGCCGCAAGGCUAAAACUCAAAGGAAUUGACGGGGGCCCGCACAAGCGGCGGAGCAUGCGGAUUAAUUCGAUGCAACGCGAAGAACCUUACCAAGGCUUGACAUAUACCGGAAACGGCUGGAAACAGUCGCCCCGCAAGGUCGGUAUACAGGUGGUGCAUGGUUGUCGUCAGCUCGUGUCGUGAGAUGUUGGGUUAAGUCCCGCAACGAGCGCAACCCUCGUCCUAUGUUGCCAGCACGUAAUGGUGGGAACUCAUGGGAUACUGCCGGGUCAACUCGGAGGAAGGUGGGGAUGACGUCAAAUCAUCAUGCCCCUUAUGUCUUGGGCUUCACGCAUGCUACAAUGGCCGGUACAAAGGGCUGCGAUACCGCAAGGUGGAGCGAAUCCCAAAAAGCCGGUCUCAGUUCGGAUUGAGGUCUGCAACUCGACCUCAUGAAGUCGGAGUCGCUAGUAAUCGCAGAUCAGCAACGCUGCGGUGAAUACGUUCCCGGGCCUUGUACACACC
rnacentral:rRNA from 1 species